UAUUAUUGAAGACAAUAUAAAUAUCAAGAAUGGACAUGGUCGUACCAUAUUCGAUGAAAAAUGCCUGCGCCUCUGUGUUUAUUUUGUUUAAGGAGAAUUUACUCCAACUCAAGAGCGGUCACUUGUGACCAGUGCCAACGUUGGCAUCAUAUCCGAUGUGGAAACACCGGGAUAUCGGAAUAGGUAUAUGACGAAGCGGUUCGUAAUCAGGAUGAACUGCGUUUCGUAUGCAUGAGGUGUCGUCACUACGACGACUCUGAUGAUGACAUGGAUGUAGAUGAAGUCGUCCACGUACUGCGGGUGCCCGAUGCACCGACAGACAUUGAAGCAACUCAGGCUGUUCUGUUGUUGCACGAAGAGUCCGGAAGUGGAGAUACUAUGAACGCAGUUGGAGCAGAUCACUCAACGUCAAUGUUUGACGUUAGUCGCCCAGAGCGUUCCAUGGAGUCAGAAGCAGAAGAGACUGACCUCAACGAUGAAACCGUCCAAGAUGUCGUACUAGAUCGUACACCUACGUACACUGUGGUGGAUGGUGGUUCCAAGAAAGGUUCGCGGAAGCUAGUAUCCAGUGAAGGCUAUGCGUUUGUGGUGAAGAGAACCCUGGUAUCUGGAGUGGCGAUGUAGCGUCCGAGGAAAGGGAGCUGGUUGUCCGGCGGUCAUCAAGCAAACUGGGGAUGCCUUUGUGAAAGGAGCGCGGGGACACAGUCACACAGCAAAUCCCGGCCUUCUCACCUCUGUUCAGAACGCGAAAGAUAUCAAAGCGGCAGCUCGAGGUGACGUGUUCGAGAGUGCACCCGUCAUUGUCCGUCGGGUGUUGGAACCAAACGACCCAAACCUAUCACCUGGUGCUCGAAUCAGUGAGCAAAAUUUGUGUAAACUUGCCAACAGGUGUCGCAAGAACAUACGACCAACAGACCCAGUAUCGACAGAAUUUGAGGUAAAUAAAUCCCCAUCUGUGCAUAAAAAUCGAUGAGCAGUACCUGAGCGAUGCGCUCAACGAUCCCUUCUACAGGGGAACGGUCACGGUAAAGGACCGCAGGCAUGUGAUUCUGGCGACGGACAAGCAGUUGGAGCUGCUGGCGAAAGCUAAGACCUGGUACUUGGACGGAACCUUCAAAGUCGUGAAGGCGCCGAUAACGCAGCUGUUCCAAUACAUGCAUUCGUGAAGUUUGAAGAUGUAGUUAAGCAGCUGCCACUGUGCUUCAUUCUGAUGAGUGGUAGAAAACGAAGAUAUUAUAAAAAGGUGUUGCAGAAAGUGAACACUCUUCUCAGUGAACGGAAAGUAACAUCGUUCGUUGUUGACUUUGAGGCCGGUCUAUGGAAGGCUCUGCGCCAAGUGUACACGGACCCCGAUAUCAAGGGCUGUGCCUUCCACUUCGGCCAGGCAUUGUGGCGGAAGUGCCAGGAGAUUGGUCUCAGUACGGCGUACGAGAGUAGAGAUCGAGUGUAAAAGUUGUUACGGAAGUGCUUCGCGCUCCCUCUUCUGCCACCAGCCGACAUUCGUCCCGCGUUCGGAAAAAUCAAGGAGAAAGGCCAAAGUGAAC